GCGGAAGCAUGCGGAUUAAUUCGAUGCAACGCGAAGACCCUUACCUGGGCUUGACAUGUGCCGGAUCGCCCCGGAAACGGGGUUUCCCUUGGGGGGCGGUUCACAGGUGGUGCAUGGUCGUCGUCAGCUCGUGUCGUGAGAUGUUGGGUUAAGUCCCGCAACGAGCGCAACCCUCGCCGCAUGUUGCCAGCGGGUGAUGCCGGGAACUCAUGUGGGACCGCCGGGGUCAACUGGGAGGAAGGUGGGGAUGACGUCAGAUGAUCAUGCCCCUUACGUCCAGGGCUUCACGCAUGCUACAAUGGCCGGUACAACGCGAUGCGACACGGUGACGUGGGGCGGAUCGCUGAAAACCGGUCUCAGUUCGGAUCGCAGUCUGCAACUCGACUGCGUGAAGGCGGAGUCGCUAGUAAUCGCGGAUCAGCAACGCCGCGGUGAAUGCGUUCCCGGGCCUUGUACACACCGCCCGUCAAGUCAUGAAAGUGGGUAGCACCCGAAGCCGGUGGCCCGACCCUCGUGGGGGGAGCCGUCUAAGGUGAGACUCGUGAUUGGGACUAAGUCGUAACAAGGUAGCCGUACCGGAAGGUGCGGCUGGAUCACCUCCUU
rnacentral:rRNA from 1 species